AUGCAGGUCUAGUUACGGACUGGCUGUGUCAGUGCCUGUUUGUCGUUCCCCCUGCACAAAUCAACAUGUUUCCUACUAUCCCUGAGUGUCAGCAUCCCACGGCUCACAGGGACGCUUGGUUUCAGACAU